rnacentral:rRNA from 1 species
CCUACGGGGGGCAGCAGUGGGGGAUAUUGCACAAUGGGCGAAAGCCUGAUGCAGCAACGCCGCGUGGGCGAUGAAGGGCUUCGGGUCGUAAAGCUCUGUCCUCAAGGAAGAUAAUGACGGUACUUGAGGAGGAAGCCCCGGCUAACUACGUGCCAGCAGCCGCGGUAAUACGUAGGGGGCUAGCGUUAUCCGGAAUUACUGGGCGUAAAGGGGGCGUAGGUGGCUUGUUAAGUCAGAGGUGAAAGGCUAGGGCAAAACCGUGGAAAGCCUUUGAAACUGGAGGACUUGAGUGCAGGAGGGGAGGGUGGAAUUCCUAGUGUAGCGGUGAAAUGCGUAGAUAUUAGGAGGAACACCAGUGGCGAAGGCGGCCCUCUGGACUGUGACUGACGCUGAGGCACGAAGGCGUGGGGAGCAAACAGGAUUAGAUACCCCAGUAGUC